GAUGAAGAACGUAGCGAAAUGCGAUAAGUAAUGUGAAUUGCAGAAUUCAGUGAAUCAUCGAAUCUUUGAACGCACAUUGCGCCCUCUGGUAUUCCGGGGGGCAUGCCUGUUCGAGCGUCAUUAUAACCACUCAAGCUCUCGCUUGGUAUUGGGGUUCGCGGUUCCGCGGCCCCUAAAAUCAGUGGCGGUGCCUGUCGGCUCUACGCGUAGUAAUACUCCUCGCGAUUGAGUCCGGUAGGUCUACUUGCCAGCAACCCCCAAUUUUUACAGGUUGACCUCGGAUCAGGUAGGGAUACCCGCUGAACUUAAGCAUAUCAUAAGCGGAGGA
rnacentral:misc_RNA from 1 species